ACCUACAGCCAGACCAUGCUGAUUGCACCUGCUCUCAGAAGCUAAGCAGGUUUCUGUCUGGUUAGUACCUGCAUGGGAGACUGCCUAGGAAUCCCAUAAGCUGCCUGGC
rnacentral:rRNA from 1 species